GGACGAACGCUGGCGGCGUGCUUACCCCAUGCAAGUCGAACGGUGAACCUCUUCGGAGGGGAUCAGUGGCGAACGGGUGAGUAACACGUGGGCAACCUGCCCCCGGCUCUGGGAUAACUCCAAGAAAUUGGGGCUAAUACCGGAUGUUCACCGCUUCCCGCAUGGGUGGUGGUGGAAAGGGUUUCCGGCUGGGGAUGGGCCCGCGGCCUAUCAGCUUGUUGGUGGGGUAGUGGCCUACCAAGGCGACGACGGGUAGCCGGCCUGAGAGGGUGACCGGCCACACUGGGACUGAGACACGGCCCAGACUCCUACGGGAGGCAGCAGUGGGGAAUAUUGCGCAAUGGGCGGAAGCCUGACGCAGCGACGCCGCGUGGGGGAUGACGGCCUUCGGGUUGUAAACCUCUUUCAGCAGGGACGAAGCGCAAGUGACGGUACCUGCAGAAGAAGCACCGGCCAACUACGUG
rnacentral:rRNA from 1 species